UACGUAGGGUGCGAGCGUUAAUCGGAAUUACUGGGCGUAAAGCGUGCGCAGGCGGUUUGAUAAGUCAGGCGUGAAAUCCCCGAGCUUAACUUGGGAAUGGCGCUUGUGACUGUCAGGCUAGAGUGCGUCAGAGGGGGGUAGAAUUCCACGUGUAGCAGUGAAAUGCGUAGAGAUGUGGAGGAAUACCGAUGGCGAAGGCAGCCCCCUGGGACGUGACUGACGCUCAUGCACGAAAGCGUGGGGAGCAAACAGG
rnacentral:rRNA from 1 species